rnacentral:lncRNA from 1 species
GGACGUGUAAACUUUUUUUUUUGCUCAUUUACUAUAUUAACUAUUAAUUUCUCAUAUUUUUGUUUUUCAUUGUUCCUUCAACCAUGGAUACAUACUAAGACCAUACGGAGCCAUUUUUCCAUUUUCUAUAUCUUAACUUGAGGAACUUCUAUUUAUUUCUUGACAUUGGAAACUUCGUUUGGUUAUUCUCUUCGAGGUUUGGUAGGUUUUACAUUUAUUCUCUUCAUAUUUUUUAACAUGGGAAACUUCGAGUGUUUAUUCUCUUCAGAGUUUGGUGGGUUUUACAUUUAUUCUCUUUCAUAUUUUUUUUUUUCUGAUCAAGUUAAUGGGAGAGAUGAGCAAAU